ACGCGUGCAGUUUUAUCACAGACUCACAGUGUCAGUCUGUUUUCUAAAUUCGUUCAUUUGAUUACUUGGUAUCAGAGAAGAUCAUGGAAUUGGAGAAUUUGCCUUUUGCAGUGAGCACAGUACAAAAAUCCAACCUACCAGAUGCAGAAAAAACAGACAAAAUUGAUUCAUGGAAUCCAAUGGAUGAAGACUUUUCUUGCGCAACAUUUAACUCUUAUAAAUACUUUAAUGUCCUUAAAGCUGAACUUCCUGGCAAAAAAUCUCCAGAGAAACGUUUGCAACAGUCACCAGAGAAACCGGCAGAAGAUAUCUCCUUAUAUAUUGGCAAUAUUCCAUCAACUAUAACUAA